rnacentral:rRNA from 1 species
AUUGAACGCUGGCGGCAGGCCUAACACAUGCAAGUCGAGCGGAUGAAGGGGGCUUUCUCCUGGAUUCAGCUGCGGACGGGCGGGUAAUUCCUAGGAAUCUGCCUGGUAUUGGGGGAUAACGUCCGUAAACGGGCGCUAAUCCCGCAUACGUCCUGAUGUUGAAACUGGGGGUUCUUUGGACCACACGCUAUCAGAUGACCCUAGUGCGUGUUUGCUAGUUGGUUGGGUAAAGGCCUACCAAGGCGACGAUCCGUAACUGACCUGAGAGGGUGACCGGUCAGACUGGAACUGAGACACGGUCCAGACUCCUACGGGAGGCAGCAGUAGGGAAUAUGCCGCAAUGGGCGAAAGCCUGACGGAGCAACGCCGCGUGAGGGAGGAAGGUAUUCGGAUCGUAAAACUCUGUUAUUAGGGAAGAACAAAUGUGUAAGUAACUAUGCACGUCUUGACGGUACCUAAUCAGAAAGCCACGGCUAACUACGUG